rnacentral:piRNA from 1 species
UGCAAUUCUUCUGCCCUUGCACCGUCCUUGU